rnacentral:rRNA from 1 species
UACGGAGGGUGCGAGCGUUGUCCGGAAUUACUGGGCGUAAAGGGCACGCAGGCGGGCUUGUAAGUGAGAUGUGAAAUCCCCGGGCUUAACCUGGGAAUAGCAUUUCAGACUGGGUGUCUAGAGUACUUUAGGGAGGGGUAGAAUUCCAGGUGUAGCGGUGAAAUGCGUAGAGAUGGGGAGGAAUACCGAAGGCGAAGGCAGCCCCCUGGGAAUAUACUGACGCUGAUGUGCGAAAGCGUGGGGAGCAAACAGG